AGCAAAUUGUCCAAAGGCCAGUUUAAGAUACUAAUAUGUGUGGCCAGCUGGUGAAGGUGGAGGUGCAAGUGAGGAAGUUGUAUUGGGUUAGCAGGGCCCUUCCAACUCUACCAAUUAAUCUCGAGGAUGCUGCUUGUAGUGAAGUUGAAAUUGAGAAGGCCCUUCAGGAUACACGUUUGAACUUUAGAGUACUUGACCUCAGAACCCGGCUAAUCAAGGAAUUUUCUCCAUUAAGUUGAAAAUGCAUUCAGACAAUUCUUAUUAUUUGAACGCUUUUUGUCAAAUCCAUUCUCCAAAAUUGAUUGCUGGGUCAAGUGAGGGUGGAGAUGUUGUUUUCAGACUGGACUAUAAAGGGCACCCUGCUUCCUUUGCCCAAUCACCACAGCUUCACAAACAUAUGGCAAUAUGUGCUGAUUUUGGCCGUGUUUUUGAGAUUACUUCACACACAGACAUCUGUGUGAGUUUACUAGUCUUGAUGUUGAAAUGGAGAUUAAGAAGCAUUAUCACGAGGUUAUGGAUAUAGUUGGUAGGUUAUUUAUCUCAAUAUUUGAUAGCUUGAACCAGAAUUGUAAGAAGGACCUUGAAGCUGUGG